AUACGGAGGGUGCAAGCGUUAUUCGGAAUCACUGGGCGUAAAGGACGCGUAGGCGGGUUGGCAAGUCAGAUGUGAAAUCCUACAGCUUCACUGUAGAACUGCAUUUGAAACUGCUAAACUAGAGUAUGGGAGGGGGAGAUGGAAUUAGUGGUGUAGGGGUAAAAUCCGUAGAUAUCACUAGGAAUACCGAAAGCGAAGGCGAUCUCCUGGAACAUAACUGACGCUAAGGCGUGAAAGCGUGGGGAGCAAACAGGAUUAGAAACCCUAGUAGUCC
rnacentral:rRNA from 1 species